GCGUUGUUCGGAAUUACUGGGCGUAAAGCGUACGUAGGCGGUUUAAUAAGUCAGGGGUGAAAGCCCAGAGCUCAACUCUGGAACUGCCUUUGAGACUGUUAGACUAGAACAUAGAAGAGGUAAGUGGAAUUCCGAGUGUAGAGGUGAAAUUCGUAGAUAUUCGGAAGAACACCAGUGGCGAAGGCGACUUACUGGUCUAUAGUUGACGCUGAGGUACGAAAGCGUG
rnacentral:rRNA from 1 species